rnacentral:lncRNA from 1 species
CUGUGACUCUUCAGGCUACAAUAACCUGCAAGCUUCUUUGCUGUUCAAUUCUCGAUGCAUGCUCAUCAUGUUCUAAUUUAAACGCCAUCUCCUCCUCCUGAGGCCCCUCCUGAGGCCCCUCCUGGCCCUGCAGCUGGAGUCCAGGGCUAGUCCCCCACUCUGCUUUCCUCCUAGCACGGCCUGUUCCUGUCUGCCUUCCACAGCGGGCGCUGAAGAAGCACGGAGAAUCUCCCCUGGCCCCUGUUCUCACCCUCACUGCAUGUUCCAGGAGAUCCUGUGACCUCAGUCAAAGCUGGGGGCAGUUUUCGAAGGAGGCUUUUCUCUCCAAUUCUUCAGCUUAUUGUUUCAGGGCAUAGCAUCCCUGCAUAAAUGAACAAUUUUAUUUUCAACUAAAGGUUUUGUCCCAUCAUAAAACAUUUUCACCAUGAGUCAAGGUAACAUUCUGAUUUUUUUUUAAUGGAAAGAAGUAACAGGGAAUGAAACAUACAAAGCCAGAAGAGGUUUGGAAUUUGAAUGGAAUCCAGGUGAUUGAUAAAGCAGGGGUGUUGCUUCAUGUCAACCGCCCACUUACCGAACUGGAAAAACAGUAGGCAAUUCAUUGAGGGAUGAUUUUACAGACCUACACAGAGAUGGAAAUUGACUGCAGAAAAGAUUUUGGAAGGCUCACCUCAGCCUCUUUCUGGAGAACCGUGUUGAUCAAGCGUGCAAUCACAAACGCAGGCAUCCUUCCACCGUGGUGUCUCCUGUGAUGCUGCGUGCUGGAGAGAACCCAAGGUCAGUUACCCUUAGAGCUCCUCCUACGAUCCAGUCCGCGUGAUCCUUUGAAUAAUUGCCUUCUGCUGUUUACCGACAGAUUCUCUAUUCCUAGAACAGGAGCUAACACUCCAUAACCGUUAUCUGUAUCAUUGUGGUAAGUAAAGUUCUCUGACAAGUUCCUCAUGUGUGGAACAAGAGUAACACCCAAUGAGCUGCCUGAAGGAUUCAGUGUCUUGGUGUUCACAAGGCCCCAGCACAUCGUCUAGGACGUGAGACCCACACGCCGCCCUCAGUCUCCUCAGUUCACUGUUUCCCCCGGGGAAACAACCGCCAGGGCCUGUAGGAAAACACAGCAAACUAGAAAGUCCAGUUGGAAGAGAUUUCAGAUGUGCUACAGCCUCCACGGCAGGAGUGAAGCUGGACCUCCAGGCUCCUGGUGAGAGCCGCGGAUGACACUGAGGAUUGUGGAGCUGAGUGACACCAGCCGGCAGGAGAGGCCAUGGCAGGAAGUGGAGCCUCCCACCGAACUCCAGGGAGCACCAGCGACUGAGAGGCCACAUGGCGGGCGGCUGUGGGUUGGGGGGGCUGCCUGCCCGCACACUCUUUACGGCAGAAGCAGUGACAUUUCCCUUGCUGUGCCCAUGGCAGGGACGGGCCCGUGGCAGGUGCUGUGAGCAUGUGCUUGCCAAGUUCCUGAUGCGGAGCCCAGCCAGCCCAGAGGGCCACAUUCUUGUCACUGCUUCUUGGAGCCGCAGCUCAUGCCAAGUUCCUCACACCCCUCUCUGGGCUCUAACUUUGUGCUGCCUCAGAUGUUCAGGGUACUUUGCUUCAAGCCAUAUCAAAAGCUGGUUUGAAAAAUAAAGUCCUACAGAGGUGCUAACUGAAUAAGAAAAGAACAGUGCGUUCUGGCCAUUCUGGGACCUAAGCAGGGGCCAGCCAGACCUCAGCAUCCUUCACAUCUGUCCUGCUGGCCACGGUGUCUGGGGAGAGCUGUGCCACCCCCCUGCUCUGAUCACACCUACCUUCUCCGGGGGACUGGCUGGUGCCCAGGGUGGGAAAUGAAACAUGUCUUCAAUUGUUGAGGAUUCACUACACAUUUCUGUGUACUUCAGCAAAAACUCA